UGUUGGUUUUAACUGUUUUAAUUUCAAAACCAUUUCAAAAAUUUUGUUUUUUCUUAAACGUUAACAGUUAUUGUUUAAGAGGCCAAUUCACUUUUACUUCAGCAAGAUGAGACCUUGGAUUAUUCUCUUGGUACUUGUGAUAAUGGUAACGUUUGUCCAAGGAUGGCUUUUCAAGGGUAAAUACCGCAAUUGUAAUUGCAAAGCAUAUGACGCCAGCAGUCGUGAAUUAGUGAAGGAUUUUGGUGUAGUAUCGUCAUGUAAAGGCUGGCCAAAAUGUGCUUGCAAACGUGCUGAAAUGAUCAAAUGUGCUGACACCUGCGAUCAUGUGGUAGCUCAGUGGGUCUGCAAUCAUAAGACAGAAUGCGAAGCUAGAAGCGACAGGAUAAAAAAAUACUACGAUGCUGGAGGAUGUAGCAGUGGAUAUGGCCAUGAGAGUAGAAAAUGCGGCGACUGCAGUACCCUCGGAUAAUUUUUAGAGAAUAAAAGUAAUGAAAGAUA